UACGUAGGGUGCGAGCGUUGUCCGGAAUUAUUGGGCGUAAAGGGCUCGUAGGCGGUCUGUCGCGUCGGGAGUGAAAAACUCAGGGCUUAACCCUGAGCCUGCUUCCGAUACGGGCAGACUAGAGGUAUGCAGGGGGAGAACGGAAUUCCUGGUGUAGCGGUGGAAUGCGCAGAUAUCAGGAGGAACACCGGUGGCGAAGGCGGUUCUCUGGGCAUUACCUGACGUGAGGAGCGAAAAGUGUGGGGGAGCGAAACAGG
rnacentral:rRNA from 1 species